rnacentral:rRNA from 1 species
UCGUAACAAGGUCUCCGUAGGUGAACCUGCGGAGGGAUCAUUACACAAAUAUGAAGGCGGGCUGGAACCUCUCGGGGUUACAGCCUUGCUGAAUUAUUCACCCUUGUCUUUUGCGUACUUCUUGUUUCCUUGGUGGGUUCGCCCACCACUAGGACAAACAUAAACCUUUUGUAAUUGCAAUCAGCGUCAGUAACAAAUUAAUAAUUACAACUUUCAACAACGGAUCUCUUGGUUCUGGCAUCGAUGAAGAACGCAGCGAAAUGCGAUAAGUAGUGUGAAUUGCAGAAUUCAGUGAAUCAUCGAAUCUUUGAACGCACAUUGCGCCCUUUGGUAUUCCAAAGGGCAUGCCUGUUCGAGCGUCAUUUGUACCCUCAAGCUUUGCUUGGUGUUGGGCGUCUUGUCUCUAGCUUUGCUGGAGACUCGCCUUAAAGUAAUUGGCAGCCGGCCUACUGGUUUCGGAGCGCAGCACAAGUCGCACUCUCUAUCAGCAAAGGUCUAGCAUCCAUUAAGCCUUUUUUCAACUUUUGACCUCGGAUCAGGUAGGGAUACCCGCUGAACUUAAGCAUAUCAAUAAGCGGAG